GAUCUAGCCAUGGGCAGGUUGAAGGUUGGGUAACACUAACUGGAGGACCGAACCGACUAAUGUUGAAAAAUUAGCGGAUGACCUGUGGCUGGGGGUGAAAGGCCAAUCAAACCGGGAGAUAGCUGGUUCUCCCCGAAAGCUAUUUAGGUAGCGCCUCGUGAAUUCAUCUCCGGGGGUAGAGCACUGUUUCGGCUAGGGGGCCAUCCCGGCUUACCAACCCGAUGCAAACUGCGAAUACCGGAGAAUGUUAUCACGGGAGACACACGGCGGGUGCUAACGUCCGUCGUGAAGAGGGAAACAACCCAGACCGCCAGCUAAGGUCCCAAAGUCAUGGUUAAGUGGGAAACGAUGUGGGAAGGCCCAGACAGCCAGGAUGUUGGCUUAGAAGCAGCCAUCAUUUAAAGAAAGCGUAAUAGCUCACUGGUCGAGUCGGCCUGCGCGGAAGAUGUAACGGGGCUAAACCAU
rnacentral:rRNA from 6 species